rnacentral:rRNA from 1 species
UACGUAGGUGGCAAGCGUUGUCCGGAUUUAUUGGGUUUAAAGGGUGCGUAGGUGGCUAACUAAGUCAGUGGUGAAAUAUCUCAGCUUAACUGAGAGGGUGCCAUUGAUACUGGAUAGCUUGAGUACAGAUGAGGUAGGCGGAAUUGACGGUGUAGCGGUGAAAUGCAUAGAUAUCGUCAAGAACACCGAUAGCGAAGGCAGCUUACCAAGCUGUAACUGACACUGAGGCACGAAAGUGUGGGGAUCAAACAGG